rnacentral:rRNA from 1 species
GACAGAGGGGGCAAGCGUUGCUCGGAAUUACUGGGCGUAAAGGGCGCGUAGGCGGGAUGGCAAGUCGGUCGUGAAAUCCCUCGGCUCAACUGAGGAUCGUCGAUCGAUACUGCCGUUCUUGAGGAUUGCAGAGGAGACUGGAAUUCCCGGUGUAGCGGUGAAAUGUGUAGAGAUCGGGAGGAACACCGGUGGCGAAGGCGGCUCACUGGCCCGGUACUGACGCUGAGGUGCGAAAGCGUGGGGAGCAAACAGG